UACAGAGGAUGCAAGCGUUAUCCGGAAUGAUUGGGCGUAAAGCGUCUGUAGGUGGCUUUUUAAGUCCGCCGUCAAAUCCCAGGGCUCAACUCUGGACAGGCGGUGGAAACUACCAAGCUGGAGUACGGUAGGGGCAGAGGGAAUUUCCGGUGGAGCGGUGAAAUGCGUAGAGAUCGGGAGGAACACCAGCGGCGAAGGCGGCUUACUGGACAGUUACUGACACUCAACUACGAAAGCGUGGGGAGCAAACAGG
rnacentral:rRNA from 1 species